UACGGAGGGUGCAAGCGUUGUCCGGAUUUAUUGGGUUUAAAGGGUGCGUAGGCGGCCCCUUAAGUCAGUGGUGAAAGCCUCCAGCUCAACUGGAGAACUGCCAUUGAUACUGACGGGCUUGAGUACAGACGAGGUUGGCGGAAUUGAUAGUGUAGCGGUGAAAUGCAUAGAUACUAUCAAGAACUCCGAUUGCGUAGGCAGCUAACUAGGCUGUAACUGACGCUGAGGCACGAAAGCGUGGGGAGCGAACAGG
rnacentral:rRNA from 1 species